AAAAGAAAACGUAUGCAUAAGGGCUUCCCGAGCUCUGCAGCAACAGAAGCCCCCUGAACUGCUCACACAAUCAUUUUAUACUUUCAGUCUCCACCCAACACAACCGUCAACACAAGUGUGCCACCUAUCAUGUAUACAUCUAUGCAGUCAUACCUCACUGUGUAUGGUGUCUUGCCUGUCUAGACAGCUUCCUGUUCUUACAUUCAGUUAAUCUCUUUGCAUUCACUUCCUCCCUGGACUUUCCACCAGUCACAGAGAAAGCAGGGGCACAGGGAGUGGCUGCUUUGGGGCCUCGGCUCUUUCCAGUUACAAAGGGGCCCAUCUCGGGCCCAAUCUGCCUGACUGAACAUACAUUUUUGUUGUUUAGUUGAAUAUUUUGAGUAAAGGUUGUUUGUGUAUCUUGAUUGUGGCAAAAAAUUUCAGACUCAGACCACAUCUGUGUCUUCUGCAGAACAGAGACGAGCCCCUUUAUAAGACUUUUAUAAUGUUGUCAUUGCCCAAGAGACAGAUCUGGAUUUGGUGCCUAAGCCUACCCAAACCAGAGCGAAUUAAUUUUAAUAUUCAACCAGCCAUACAAUGUGAAAUCAAGAGGCUGUAGGCUACAGUUUGCAAACAAAUAAAGAACAAAAAAAGCUAGACUGUACAUCAACAAUUCUAUUUAAUGAACUGGGCUAUCAUUAGGACUUUAUUGAAUCCGUCCCCUCUCUGAUUAUUUUUAUCAAUUCAAUUGUUUGAUUCUUACCUUUUAAAUUGUCAGGGGUAAAAGACUGCAGAGUACAUUAACUGUUUUAUUCAGUCAGACAUUGACAAACCAAGUGGUACAGAGCUACUUAAUGCAGCAAUGGACGGAAAAAGAAUAUUUUUUAUUCGAAAUUUUAUAAGUUCAUUGACUAAAUCUUGUGGAUUUGUCAUGCUGCAGACUUGGAAGGCACCCAAGGACCAGGGACUCCAUGACUUCAGGCAGACAGGGACAGGGCAGUUGCAGCUCAGGAACAGGGAACUGCUGCGGCAGCCCAGCCGGAACGGGGACUGCUGUGGCAGCCCAGCCCGAACGGCGGAGUUACUGCACUUCAGCCAGGAUGGGGGGGUUGCUUCAGCUCAGCGGGGUCAAAUAGAGUCAUCUGGACUGGAGUGACAGUCUUGGAUGUGACCAUGUGCUCACCAUCAGAGUCUUUUGGGUGAACAGACUGGGGUGCAGGCUUUGAGACCACAGGUGAGUCCACUGAGCCAGUCUGCAGGAAUCUGUGGAGCUUCUCCCAGACAACAUCAAGGUGGGGAACAAAGUGGCUCACCCACAGUCUCUCCUUAAACCACCACGGAUGGACCGAUAUCUUCUACAAGUCUUGAGUGCGCUAAUGUGGGUGAGAGGCAAUGAGGUGAGCCACAGUCCAAUUGAAUUCUGAAACCUUUUUUUAAAAAAAGGCGAUGCUCUGCUUGGUCCAUGACUGGUUGAAUCCUUCUGUCAUGGGUUGUGGAGCAGGAAUGGGUGGACCCAAUUGCAGAGACCAGAAAGUAGGGCUGAAGAAAACCAUCUUCAUUUCAAGACUGGCAAGGCAAAAACAAAAGCAGGCUGAGCUGAGUAAACUGUAUACAGAAAAACAAGUGAUCAGGCAGCAUGGAAACUGCGCGAACAUUACAGGAAACUUGACUUAACAGGACAGAACAGAGUUUCCAACAAAUGUGACUGCAAACCAAGACUUAUAUACUAACUGAACUAAUGGACAAAAGGGAACAGGUGGCAAGACACAAGGGCAGGCUGGGAGUGAUUGGCUGGGAAAGACACUAGGAACAGGGCAGGACUGACGAGGCUGAUACAGGACAGGUGCGGGGAAAACACAGAGCAGAGCAGGGCUAACGAGGGUAAUGCAGGGCAAGCGAGAGGAGGAGCACAUGAACACAGGAGUGAAGAACACACAAGGGAAACAGAACAAACCAAAACCCAGGACACACCACUCAACAACCCAGCAUAAACCAAAUUGUCUCUGACUACAUGAACCUAGGAACACAGAACUACAAGCUAACCAAUAAUCUAAUAGUCUUUCCAGGAAACACUAAAAUAACAUGAAAGAGCAAAAUCAAAUGACCAAAAAGACUGAACAGAAGUGCAACACAGGAAACCAAGAGAACACAAAGAGCCCCAAAAAACAGAAAGUCCAGGCAGGAUGUGACAGGAUAUGGGUGACUCGUACAAGUUCAACAAAGAGUGAGAAUGUCACAUCUUGGCAUCUUGGUUAUGUAAAAUUUGAGUAGUACUGAUGGAUACUCGGAACUGCAUAUUUGUGUCUUCCAGAGGUUCCAGGGAUAGUAGCCUCGCUGAAAGAUGUCGUAGAGGCCAUGUAAGGAGCGUCAUGCAGCUCAAGUUCCAGCCGAGUUUCCAGUGUGCAGUCUAUUUCUGGAGAUCAUGAAAUAUUGUACUUGCGGAUUCUGAUGUAAAGGACCCGAAGAGGAUGUUUGAUUGUCUCGGCAAAACAAGACUGUCUCUCACCACCCAGGACUCGGCUACUGGUCUUUGAUAACAAAACAGGAAGCGUGAAAGUGGGGUGCGCCCACUCAACUGUGAAAAACAAUGCCACGUAUAGCCUCAAGGUCUUAAGCUGUGCACUCUAAGAGACAGGUGAUGUUGAUCCAUAGGUUGUGCAAAGCAGGAUACCACGAAAAGGAGAAGCAGGACACCGUCAACCAAUGAGAAGACAACAACACCCCGGUUGCACAUUUCUUGAUCUAUGUAUUAUAAAAUACUGGGUCAGGAUAGUGAGUCAGACUUAGUGAACUGACAGACACUCUCUUGCUUGUCAGGGAAACUAU